GGCUCAGGAUGAACGCCAGCGGCAGGCCUAAUACAUGCAAGUCGAGGGGCAGCGGGUGUAGCAGUACAUGCCGGCGACCGGCGCACGGGUGCGUAACACGUAUGCAAUCUACCUAUAUCAGGGGGAUAGCUCGGAGAAAUCCGAAUUAAUACCCCAUAAUACUCGAAAAGGCAUCUUUUUGAGUUGAAAGCUCCGGCGGAUAUGGAUGAGCAUGCGACUGAUUAGUUAGUUGGUGAGGUAACGGCUCACCAAGACUGCGAUCAGUAGGGGAUCUGAGAGGACUACCCCCCACACUGGUACUGAGACACGGACCAGACUCCUACGGGAGGCAGCAGUAAGGAAUAUUGGACAAUGCCCGCAAGGGUGAUCCAGCCAUGCCGCGUGCAGGAAGAAGGACCUAUGGUUUGUAAACUGCUUUUGAACAAGAGAAAACCCUCCUACGUGUAGGAGGCUGAUAGUAUUGUUAGAAUAAGCAUCGGCUAACUUCGUGCCAGCAGCCGCGGUAAGACGAAGGAUGCAAGCGUUAUCCGGAUUCAUUGGGUUUAAAGGGUGCGUAGGCGGCCUGGUAAGUCAGUGGUGAAAUCUCCUCGCUUAACGAGGAAACUGCCAUUGAUACUGCUAGGCUUGAGUACAGAUGCUGUGGGCGGAAUAUGACAUGUAGUGGUGAAAUACUUAGAGAUGUCAUAGAACACCGAUUGCGAAGGCAGCUCACAAAACUGUAACUGACGCUGAGGCACGAAAGUGCGGGGAUCAAACAGGAUUAGAUACCCUGGUAGUCCGCACUGUAAACGAUGAUUACUCGCUGUUGGGCAGCAAUGUCCAGUGGCUUAGCGAAAGCGAUAAGUAAUCCACCUGGGGAGUACGCGGGCAACGGUGAAACUCAAAG
rnacentral:rRNA from 1 species